rnacentral:lncRNA from 1 species
UGGUUACAGUAUAUCCUGUCUGAACUUCUGAUAAAGCACUAACUAAUUUGACUAUAACGUGUUUUUUUUUUGUUUGUUUGUUUUUUUUUUUUUGUUUUUUUUUGUUUUUUUAAGGAUUUGAAAUAAUAGAGAUCUUCUGAAAAGCUUCUUUGUUGCUACACCAAGACUACAGACAGAAAAACAAGCCCUGCCUUACUUGGGAGUCAGUGGCAAAGCAUCAGAUGUCUGAGUCUAUCCUAAACAAAGAUUUCUUCCUACAAAGAUCAAAAGGAUGUAUUUCAGAAGUGAAAGAAUGUGGGAAGAAUUAUCAACAUAAUGAGAGGGUCUCCAAGUAGAAGACAAAGAUUAUUUGAAAGACCUGGUUCUGACAAAUCAGAGGACCUUUUCUCUCCUUGAAUUUGAGAGUCUAGUAGAAGAUGCUUUUGAAUGCUUAAUAACUAUUUGGAUAGAUGCCCCUUCUCCCUGGAAAAAUAAAUGAGAUCCUCCUAAAAAGGAAACUGAAAUU